ACAAGCCUGAGAAACGGCUAGUAGGACUAAGGUCUGCAGCAGGCGCGAAACUUACACAAUGCUAGAUUAUGUGAAUAGCGAUGUAGUGAAGAAAAAUAACGAUGUACUUGUAUUUAAACAUACUUGUACAAUUGGAAUGAGACGACUCUAAACCAGUCAGUCGAGUAACAAAUGGAGGGCAAGUCUGGUGCCAGCAGCCGCGGUAAUUCCAGCUCCAUUAGCAUACAUUAAAGUUGUUGCGGUUAAAAAGCUCGUAGUUGAAUUUUGGACGCUGCCUGGUGGGUUGGGUGCGUGAAGGGCCGCUUGUAAUCUCCGGAUUCUUCGGCCUGUAUCCAGUUCCCGCACGGGCGGCGUUGUUUCGUCACUUAAUCGAGUGCGAAGCGGGGGUUAUUGGAUAAAGGAGAGCAAUCUCCUUCCAUUGACCCAUGUUUACCUUGAGAAAAUUAGAGUGCUCAGAGCAGGCAGUUGGGGUGUAAAAGCCCCUUUAUGCUUGAAUAAUGUUGCAUGGAAUAAUAGAAUACGGCCUCGGUUCUAUUCUGUUGGUCUUAUAGAACAACAAACAAGUUGGUUUAGGCACUAAACGGCGAGUUGGGAAGCGUGGUUUGUUUGGGGGCUUGUUGUCUGGGGCCUAAAAAUCUCAGUACCUUCUCCCAUCUAGCCAUCAAGCGCCCCCUCCUUGUCAGCCCCAAGCCAACUGAGGCAAUGGUUAAAAGAAAUAGUCGCGGCGGCAUCAGUACUGCAUCGUGAGAG
rnacentral:rRNA from 1 species